rnacentral:rRNA from 1 species
UAGGGAAUCGUCCACAAUGGACGAAAGUCUGAUGGAGCAACGCCGCGUGAGUGAAGAAGGGUUUCGGCUCGUAAAACUCUGUUGUUAAAGAAGAACAUAUCUGAGAGUAACUGUUCAGGUAUUGACGGUAUUUAACCAGAAAGCCACGGCUAACUACGUGCCAG